UACAGAGGUCCCAAGCGUUGUUCGGAUUCACUGGGCGUAAAGGGUGCGUAGGUGGCGGGGAAAGUUUGAUGUGAAAUCUCCGGGCUUAACCCGGAAAUGGCAUUGAGUACUAUUCCGCUUGGAGGGUUGGAGGGGGGACUGGAAUUCUCGGUGUAGCAGUGAAAUGCGUAGAUAUCGAGAGGAACACCAGUGGCGAAGGCGAGUCCCAGGACAACACCUGACACUGAGGCACGAAAGCUAGGGGAGCAAACAGG
rnacentral:rRNA from 1 species